rnacentral:rRNA from 1 species
UACGAAGGGGGCUAGCGUUGCUCGGAAUCACUGGGCGUAAAGCGCACGUAGGCGGACUCUUAAGUCGGUGGUGAAAUCCUGGAGCUCAACUCCAGAACUGCCCUUCGAUACUGGGAGUCUCGAGUUCGGGAGAGGUGAGUGGAACUGCGAGUGUAGAGGUGAAAUUCGUAGAUAUUCGCAAGAACACCGGUGGCGAAGGCGGCCUGCUGGGCAGUAGCUGACGCUGAUGCGCGACAGCGUGGGGAGCAAACAGGG